rnacentral:lncRNA from 1 species
CAUCCAUUGGCUGAAAGCUUCGUCUAUUUGAGGCUGACUGAAAGCGUUCCUUUCUUCUGUGUUGCCUGGAAACGGACUGUCUGCCUAGUAACAUCUGAUCGCGUUUCCCAUUGGCCGCCGUUUCCGGAAGCCCGCCCUCCCAUUUCCGGAAGCCUGGCUUAAGGUUGGUCUGCAGGUGGCCUCCAGGUGCAAAGUGGGAAGUGUGAGUCCUCAGUCUUGGGCUAUUCGGCCACGUGCCUGCCGGACAUGGGACGCUGGAGGGUCAGCAGCGUGGAGUCCUGGCCUUUUGCGUCCACGGGUGGGAAAUUGGCCAUUGCCACGGCGGGAACUGGGACUCAGGCUGCCUCCCGGCCGUUUCUCAUCAGUCCACUGGACUCGUGGGCGCUCGCACUGGCGCUGAUGUAGUUUCCUGACCUCUGACCCGUAUUGUCUCCAGAUUAAAGGUACGACAUUUGGAGGCCCCAGCGAGAAACGCCACCGGGCGAGAGCCGGGCCCGCUGUGUGCUCCCCCGGAAGGACAGCCAGCUUGUAGGGGGGAGCGCCACCUGAAAAAAAAUUUCCAGGUCCCCAAAGGGUGACCGUCUUCCGGAGGACAGCGGAUCGACUACCAUGUGGGUGCCCACAAAAAUUCCACCUCUGAGUCCUCAACUGCUGACCCCGGGGUCAGAGGAAAGGUGGAUGCCACCGUGUUCACAGACAGUAGCAGCUUCCUCGAGAAGGGACUACGAAAGGCCGGUGCAGCUGUUACCACGGAGACAGAUGUGUUGUGGGCUUAGGCUUUACCAGCAAACACCUCAGCACAAAAGCCUGAAUUGAUCACCCUCACUCAGGCUCUCCGAUGGGGUAAGGAUAUUAACGUUAACACUGACAGCAGGUAUGCCUUUGCUACUGUGCAUGUACGUGGAGCCAUCUACCAGGAGCGUGGGCUACUCACCUCAGCAGGUGGCUGUAAUCCACUGUAAAGGACAUCAAAAGGAAAACACGGCCGUUGCCCGUGGUAACCAGAAAGCUGAUUCAGCAGCUCAAGAUGCAGUGUGACUUUCAGUCACGCCUCAAAACUUGCUGCCCACAGUCUCCUUUCCACAGCCAGAUCUGCCUGACAAUCCCGCAUACUCAACAGAAGAAGAAAACUGGCCUCAGAUCUCAGAGCCAAUAAAAAUCAGGAAGGUUGGUGGAUUCUUCCUGACUCUAGAAUCUUCAUACCCCGAACUCUUGGGAAAACUUUAAUCAGUCACCUACAGUCUACCACCCAUUUAGGAGGAGCAAAGCUACCUCAGCUCCUCCGGAGCUGUUUUAAGAUCCCCCAUCUUCAAAGCCUAACAGAUCAAGCAGCUCUCCGGUGCACAACCUGCGCCCAGGUAAAUGCCAAAAAAGGUCCUAAACCCAGCCCAGGCCACCGUCUCCGAGAAAACUCACCAGGAGAAAAGUGGGAAAUUGACUUUACAGAAGUAAAAGCACACCGGGCUGGGUACAAAUACCUUCUAGUACUGGUAGACACCUUCUCUGGAUGGACUGAAGCAUUUGCUACCAAAAACGAAACUGUCAAUAUGGUAGUUAAGUUUUUACUCAAUGAAAUCAUCCCUCGACAUGGGCUGCCUGUUGCCAUAGGGUCUGAUAAUGGACUGGGCUUCACCUCGUCUAUAGUUUAGUCAGUCAGUAAGGCGUUAAACAUUCAAUGGAAGCUCCAUUGUUCCUAUCGACCCCAGAGCUCUGGGCAGGUAGAACGCAUGAACCGCACCCAAAAAACACUCUUACAAAAUUAAUCUUAGAAACUGGUGUAAAUUGUGUAAGUCUCCUUCCUUUAGCCCUACUUAGAGUAAGGUGCACCCCUUACUGGGCUGGGUUCUCACCUUUUGAAAUCAUGUAUGGGAGGGCGCCGCCUAUCUUGCCUAAGCUAAGAGAUGCCCAAUUGGCAAAAAUAUCACAAACUAAUUUAUUACAGUACCUACAGUCUCCCCAACAGGUACAAGAUAUCAUCCUGCCACUUGUUCGAGGAACCCAUCCGAAUCCAAUUCCUGACCAGACAGGGUCCUGCCAUUCGUUCCAGCCAGGAGACCUAGUGUUUGUUAAAAAGUUCAGAGAGAAGGACUCCCUCCUGCUUGGAAGAGACCUCACACCGUCAUCACGAUGCCAACGGCUCUGAAGGUGGAUGGCAUUCCUGCUUGGAUUCAUCACUCCCGCAUCAAAAAGGCCAACAGAGCCCAACUGGAAACAUGGGUCCCCAGGGCUGGGUCAGGCCCCUUAAAACUGCACCUAAGUUGGG